rnacentral:misc_RNA from 1 species
UCCACCUCCACAGAGCAAUCAGACACAGACGAUACCCUCCUAGAAUCCGGAACCACACCGUCUAUAAUCUCAGGAUCAGAGACACAAGCGAAAGCGUAAUCGUCAUAGGAGCCACCCGUGGUAGAAUAAAAUUGAGAGUAGCAAGACCCAUCUUCUGCAUCAGAAAAGCAGGAGUCAUCACUUCCUGUGACGGAACGGCUGUGGCUCCCCUGCUCCAAAUCGAUGUGGGACAUUUCUAAAGCAGACAUUUUUUUGAAAAAUUUUUAAUCUUGAACGAAAGAACUUGCUAAAUGGCACUUGGAUUUUGGGGAAUGAAAAUACUUUUAAUAGUUUGACGCUCUAGGUGAUGUCAAAAUUCAAAACGUUGAAGAAAUGGGUAUUGGAUUAGGUGACCUUGCAAUUCUAUCAGUGCUUGCUUUCACUUAUCAAAACCGAAAGAGCAAAAAGAGAAAAUUAUCAAAUAUUAAUUAUUAAACAAUGCA